UACAGAGGGUGCAAGCGUUAAUCGGAAUUACUGGGCGUAAAGCGAGCGUAGUCGGUUAUUUAAGUCGGGUGUGAAAGCCCCGGGCUCAACCUGGGAAUUGCAUUCGAUACUGGAUAGCUAGAGUUCGGCAGAGGGAAGCGGAAUUUCCGGUGUAGCGGUGAAAUGCGUAGAUAUCGGAAGGAACAUCAGUGGCGAAAGCGGCUUCCUGGACCAGAACUGACGAUCAGGCACGAAAGCGUGGGGAGCAAACAGG
rnacentral:rRNA from 1 species